rnacentral:rRNA from 1 species
GACGAACGCUGGCGGCGUGCUUAACACAUGCAAGUCGAACGAAAAGAGGGAAAGAGCUUGCUCUUUCCGGAAUUGAGUGGCAAACGGGUGAGUAACACGUAAACAACCUGCCUUCAGGAUGGGGACAACAGACGGAAACGACUGCUAAUACCGAAUAAGUUCCAAGAGCCGCAUGGCCCAUGGAAGAAAAGGUGGCCUCUACCUGUAAGCUAUCGCCUGAAGAGGGGUUUGCGUCUGAUUAGCUGGUUGGAGGGGUAACGGCCCACCAAGGCGACGAUCAGUAGCCGGUCUGAGAGGAUGAACGGCCACACUGGAACUGAGACACGGUCCAGACUCCUACGGGAGGCAGCAGUGGGGAAUCUUCCGCAAUGGGCGAAAGCCUGACGGAGCAACGCCGCGUGAGUGAUGACGGCCCUCGGGUUGUAAAACUCUGUGAUCCGGGACGAAAAGGCAGAGUGCGAAGAACAAACUGCAUUGACGGUACCGGAAAAGCAAGCCACGGCUAACUACGUG